rnacentral:snRNA from 1 species
GGUUAAGAUCAAAGUGUAGUAUCUGUUCUUAUCAGCUUAAUCUCUGGUACGGUCUCCGUAGGGGACCCAGAAGAUUAAACUGAUUUUUGGCAAAUGACGGAGUGCAAGGGGCUUACUCCACCUCUGUCGCGGGUUGACCCGGUAUUGCUGUACCUCCGGAAUUGGCCCAUCUUAA